GACGAACGCUGGCGGCGUGCUUAACACAUGCAAGUCGAACGGAAAGGCCCUGCUUUUGUGGGGUGCUCGAGUGGCGAACGGGUGAGUAACACGUGAGUAACCUGCCCUUGACUUUGGGAUAACUUUAGGAAACUGGGGCUAAUACCGGAUAGGAGCUCCUGCUGCAUGGUGGGGGUUGGAAAGUUUCGGCGGUUGGGGAUGGACUCGCGGCUUAUCAGCUUGUUGGUGGGGUAGUGGCUUACCAAGGCUUUGACGGGUAGCCGGCCUGAGAGGGUGACCGGCCACAUUGGGACUGAGAUACGGCCCAGACUCCUACGGGAGGCAGCAGUGGGGAAUAUUGCACAAUGGGCGGAAGCCUGAUGCAGCAACGCCGCGUGCGGGAUGACGGCCUUCGGGUUGUAAACCGCUUUCGCCUGUGACGAAGCGUGAGUGACGGUAAUGUGUAAAGAAGCACCGGCUAACUACGUG
rnacentral:rRNA from 1 species